AGAUAGGGGUUUUUUUUUUAUAUAUUUAAACUCAAAGUUGCUUUGUAUUUGACUUAGUCACUUCUAGGAAUAUAAUUUUAUUUUGAAAAUUAGCCUGUUCUGUUUAAUUUGUCUGGCAAAUAAGCCGAAACAAUCUGUUGUCUGAAAAACUGUAAUGUUGUAUACGUCUGAGUUUCAGAUCUGAUUAUGAUCAUCUUUGACAGAACAGAUAUUUAAAGUGAUUCUAUUAAUAAGUCUAAUUUUUGAGUCAAUGAUACAGUGAAAGAAACAGAAAAAAAUUUCUCCCUUUUUAUGUUACUUUUUGUCAUUAUGCUAUGGAUCUUAUUUGCAGUCAUGUCCGGUUACCUUGAAAAUUUCUCCUUCCUUAACCUCAGAAUAGUACUUUAUUCUGAGUUGGUUUUAUAACGUUCCAGCUACUUUGGGGAUGUGCAAUGGAUUUAUCUUGAAUUUCUAGCUUGACUCUAAGAACUGUUGAAAUUUUCCAUCAUCUCCCAUGCUGGGAACUGUUGCUAUCUGUGUUUACUAAGCUACUAUUUGGAAGAUUUCGAGCAACUUGUUUCUGUCAGAGAGUCUCCUGUGUGAAACACUGGAUUCAAUCUCUGAGUAUGGGUCAGAGCUUGUAUUCAAGAUGAUAAUUAGACUGUUCCUGGUACCAAAGAGCCCAGUAACUCCUGCAGCAAUAAUGUCUGAAGCUGUGUUAUAAGCAAGAGUAGAAUUACGUGGCAAGCAUCAACUUCAUCCAGGAAAGUAUUUCUCUGCAGUUCUCUUGAGCUUAUACCGUGUGGAGUGAAACAAAAUGUUACCUGCUAGUCUUCAAAUAGUUUUUGCUGGAAGUUUCUCAGAUCUCAGACAUACAUUAACGUAUCAGAGGUGUGCCUGAAUUCCCAUAGUAUUCAUUUUUAUAUAUCAUUUAUUUAUGCCUGAAUUCUCAUAGUAAAUGCAUGACUGAUUCUGUAGCAGGUCCUGUCAUUCUCUGCCUCAGUCCUUCCUUGACUAAAGUGGGAAUGGCUUAACAGAGCAGUAGUACGUCGUACAAAGACUGAAAUGUAGAAUUCUUUUUCUUCCUCCUUUUGCUUUGCUUAAGCUCUGUAGGGUAUCUGCAAAUUUCUGUUACUGAACGGACUUAACACAUGUAGAAGAGACUUGCUGAUAUCUCCCUGAAAAGAAUUAACUCUUCUGGUUUUCUGUUUAUUUUUGUGAGUUUUUUUCUGUGGUUAUUUUGUGGUACUUUGUUUUGUUUUUCCAUUGCAACUCCUCAGAAGGUUGAAAUUCAACUUGAAAGCACUUAUUUUGAAAAGUGAUGUGAUCUUGACAACCUCAUGAUUUCAGGAAGUUGCACAGAACUUGAUUAAUGUGGUUAAUAAGCAGUUUAAGUCAUGUAGAUGUGUCUACUUCUCUUGGAAACUUUAGGUACGGAUGAGGUUGUGGUAUAAGAUUGGAUGCAUCUGUGUUGAAAUCAGUCUUUUUGAAGAAAAUACGUGAAAUAAUUCUCUUUUUCAAUAAUAACUUGUAUGCUUCCAUUAGAAGUGGUUUUACGGGUAUAGAAAACAAUAUUUUGGUCAAAAUUUUCAAUUACUUCCUAUAUAUACGUUAUUCUUGCAUACCUUUGGAAUAAUUCACAAAAAUACGAAUUUUUGACAAGCAUAGCCAAAUCUGAAACUGUUCUACCCUGACUUACCCUUGAAAUGACAGAGUACUCAGCGUGUAGCCAGCUGCUGCUGUUGAUUAUAAUCGAAAUAACAAAUUUAUGCCUAAAACUGAUUUUUAUAUGAAAGGGAUUAGAAGUGGCGGUAGAAACUGAUUAGGAAGUUGUUUGGCUUUGUUGUUGUUGCAUACCUCCUCCUUUUCAAAAGCCUUAACGUAACUCUGCUCUGCUGUAUAGCUUUGUACUAUACUAUUUCUACUUUCUCUUCAGUUCCUUUUUUAUUUAUCUGUUUCCCAAGCAGACAUUGCAGCUAUGCUGAUUUUUCACAGCAAUAUGGAAAAGCUGUUGGGACCCAGCUGCCCCACUUAGAGGGGAAUCCAUUUAAAAGAAAAUAGGAGUUCUGUGUUUACUUAAAUUUAGGGACUCUGCUUAAAAUUAGGGAGUUUUCUGUACCAUCUACACAAAGUCCAAGUGUUUUCCUGUUGUAUUACAGAACUGAUGCAUCUCUCCUAUAAUUUUUCUUUGCACCUGCUUCUUCAGGAAGAAACUCCUUCAUGGAGUAUUUUAGCAUUUUUCUGAGGCAGAAGUUAGUUUAGAGGUGGCAUGGCACUCUUAAGCUUCUGUUUUGGCGAUGUAUUUGCAGUGCUGCUGAGCGUGUUUCACUUUCCGUGCUGACGAAAGUUCAGAACUGCUCAGCAAAUGAUGUGGGAAGAGGAAGAUGGCCAAUGUAACGGCAGUCACUUGGCCAGCCCAAAUCGAUGGUGGUGUGUGUGAGCUCCUGUACUACUGAAAAAUCAGGUGGCAAAGAUGAGGUGAAGCACUCGGGUGCGUUGUUAUGUCAGGAUGUUUUCCUUCAAUGGAAACGAUGAUGUGCAGCGCCAUGGAUUCGUUAUGGAACAGUGCUGUGGGGAACACUUCUUUUGACCUGAUCUUUUUAAAGUAAAGAUUGUCAAAAGCAGUGUAUGUUGUACUGAAAGUGGUAAAACUGGUUUUUGUAUCUGGAUGCUUCUUGUGUCACAUUUUAAAGAGUUUUAAGGAAAAAUAAAGUUCUGAAAGAUUUUUCAUCUUAAUUCACACAGUGCUGUAUAAAUUUUUAAGCUUCGUUUUGAUCUCCCACCUCAAAUUUUAAUUUAGAUAAGUAGAUCUAAUCUCCUUUUGAAUCAUAGAAUCAUAGAAUUGCCGUAAGAAUGAGGUGGAAGUUAGAGAUCAACCUGUUCAUCCUCUGGGUGGUUUGCUUGUUUGCUAGUGUAAGCUUGAAGUUAGCAACCAGAAGCCUGAGGAGUGCAAUUUCACUGUAGUGUAGGCCAUUGGUAAAUCAACUUCUCUCCUUGUUAUAGUGUGAGAAUCACUACGUGAAAAUAUCCACAGAAGUAUUUCCUAGCAGGUACUUUGCUGCAAGCAGAACUUAGAAUCAUAGAAUCCUUAAGGUUGGAAGGACCAGUGAGAUCGUCUGGUCCAACCACCAGGCAGUAUUUACCAAACCUGUAAGAAUUACCCACUGUCGUUUUAUUCUUAGGCUUGCUCAAAGCCACUCAGUUUAGGAGAGCUAGGGGAAGGAGGAUGCAAGAUUCCAGCUGAAUGUUUAUGAAUCAAAGCCCUAAAUUCCUUGUGCCACUGUGAAGGGUCUUCCCAUCUGCAAUUCAGAGCACGCUAUGUAUUUUGAAGUUAAGCAGUGAGAUAAGCCCUGCUUUUCUUCUUUGAAGAAAGAAGUGAGAAGAGUGAGUUUUAUAUCCAGAGAAAAAAUUGUACUGUAUAACAUUACUCUCUUCAGUGGGGAAUUCUGAAACAGGAGUGUAGAUGGUAAAAGUAGUGGCAAUGCCAGGGAAGUUGAACAAACAAGUAGCUAGGAGCUGAAAUAAAUCACUUGUUUAGAAGGUUUAGCAGACUGCUCUUUUCAGGUUUAUCAAAAAAGACUACAAGCCUCUUUCCCUGGAAUGCAGAGUGCACUUGUAAGUGGGAAACUCAGUUUAAAAUUCUGUUUUCUAUUUUUUUUAUAGAAAUUGCAAAGAAGUGGAUGGUUUCUGAGAUUUUUCUGCUUAAGUUUUAGUGUUUAAAAAUUAGAAGCAAGUCUGCUGCUUACAAUGACUGUGAUGCGUCUUAUAUUGUAGGUUUCUCAUUUCCUUGUUUUUAAUUGUGCAGAUGUCUUUCGUUUUCCUGUCCUGGUCUUUCAGAAGGGAAAGAUACAAGUCAAAGCUCAGCAAUACUAUAAUACUAUACUGUACUAUAGUACUGUACUAAUUUCCUAAUGUGUGGCAUACCGCAGGCAAAGCCUGUCUAGUAGUUAAAGCUUGGCUUGUUAGUUAGAAUGGAAGUGAAAACCGUAUUAGACCUUGCAGAUUACUUACUGCAGUGUUAUUCUAACAAGGGGGGUUCACAGAGACAGCUGCCCUCAGACUCAUAACAGAAGUGUAACUGCUUAGCACCUUUGUUCUUGUUGGCUAAUAAUUUAUUGAGUGAAUCAUCAGAGUAACUUCUUGUAGCAUCCAAGUCCAUAUCCAGUUGAAUUUCAGUGUUAGUCUCCUUUUUUGUGGAAUGCAGCUUCUUCCACUUGCUUACUUGCAUGAAGUGUUUCAAACAAUGUGAUUUCCACUUACUACUUUGGGAUAACGGCAACAAACUGUACUGCUUUGUUUUCCUGGUGGUCUUGUUAAGUGGAGCAUUAUGUAAAUUCAGGGUUUGUUUCAGUAUUUGCUGUAAACUCUGCAGUGUUCUGUGUAUUCUGCUACAGGUAAUUCUGCUUAAAAUUAUUUUGCCUAGCUUUGUUUUUAUUUUCCACUGGUUAGUGUGUCUUGUAAUGUAUUAUGGUUAGGUCAUUUAUGACCAUAUGAAAACAGCUUCUUGAAAUUAAUAUGUUAUUGGUUUUUCUUUUUAGUUCUUAAUAACUUAUACUCACACAGAUAUUCCUUAACUUC